rnacentral:rRNA from 1 species
CCUACGGGAGGCAGCAGUGAGGAAUAUUGGUCAAUGGGCGCUAGCCUGAACCAGCCAAGUAGCGUGAAGGAUGACUGCCCUAUGGGUUGUAAACUUCUUUUAUAUGGGAAUAAAGUACAGUAUGUAUACUGCUUUGCAUGUACCUUAUGAAUCAGGAUCGGCUAACUACGUGCCAGCAGCCGCGGUAAUCCGGAGGAUCCGAGCGUUAUCCGGAUUUAUUGGGUUUAAAGGGAGCGUAGGCGGGUUGUUAAGUCUGUUGGGAAAGUUUGCGGCGCAACCGUAAAAUUGCAGUUGAUACUGGCAUCCUUGAGUACAGUAGGGGUAGGCGGAAUGCGUGGUGUAGCGGUGAAAUGCGUAGAUAUCACGAAGAACUCCGAUGGCGAAGGCAGCCUGCUGGACUGUAACUGACGCUGAUGCUCGAAAGUGUGGGGAUCAAACAGGAUUAGAUACCCCUGUAGUC